rnacentral:pre_miRNA from 1 species
UAUAAUGUUUUGACUCUUCAUUUUAUUUGAAUUUUUUUACGAUUACAUUUAUAUUGUUACUAGAUGAUAAAAUAUAAAUAUUACUUUAUGGGUGACUAACUUUUUAAAGUUUUUUAUAAAUUUUUUAAAUAAGACGAAUGGUCAAACGUUGGACAUGGAAAAAAAUG